GGAUCCUAAUUUAGACUAUUGUUUG
rnacentral:tRNA from 9 species